ACGCGGACCGCCUUCUGUCAAUCCUAUAUAAAUAUUGGACCAUGUAAACAGAAGCCCUCACAGCUAGACUUGCUCCUCUAUAUCCAAAGCAAUUAACACCCUCAUGACUUGCAAGAUUGCCACCGCUGCUGUAUCGAUCUUCAUAUUAGCACUCCUGUUGUCUUGCAGUGCAUCUGGAUUCGGAUGCAAGCACAGAGCUAGGGUGGCAAUGUGCCGUCCUGCUGUUUGCAUGGAACAAUGCAUAUUGGAAGGCUACCAAGAUGGAUAUUGUUCAUCAAAGGAAAGAUCAGUCUGCUGUUGCUUCAAUGUAAGAAAACACCCUGUAGGGAAAAUCAUCGAUUCGACUCAUUAUGAGGGUUCAGGUGCUGACUAAUAAGUAAGGUGAAGACCAAUGUGAUAAAGCUGAUACAAUUUUGUGUCCCUUGAAUAAAUUCGUUUUUCAAAGAUUC